rnacentral:tRNA from 1 species
GGCUGCGUAGCUCAGUUGGAAGAGAGCAUCUCAUUCAUAACGAGAAGGUCAGCGGUUCAAUUCCGCUCGCAGCUACCA